AGUGAACGCUGGCGGUAGGCCUAACACAUGCAAGUCGAACGGCAGCACAGUAAGAGCUUGCUCUUACGGGUGGCGAGUGGCGGACGGGUGAGGAAUACAUCGGAAUCUACUUUUUCGUGGGGGAUAACGUAGGGAAACUUACGCUAAUACCGCAUACGACCUACGGGUGAAAGCAGGGGAUCUUCGGACCUUGCGCGAUUGAAUGAGCCGAUGUCGGAUUAGCUAGUUGGCGGGGUAAAGGCCCACCAAGGCGACGAUCCGUAGCUGGUCUGAGAGGAUGAUCAGCCACACUGGAACUGAGACACGGUCCAGACUCCUACGGGAGGCAGCAGUGGGGAAUAUUGGACAAUGGGCGCAAGCCUGAUCCAGCCAUACCGCGUGGGUGAAGAAGGCCUUCGGGUUUUAAAGCCCUUUUGUUGGGAAAGAAAAGCAGCAGGUUAAUACCCCGCUGUUCUGACGGUACCCAAAGAAUAAGCACCGGCCAACUUCGUG
rnacentral:rRNA from 1 species